AUUGAACGCUGGCGGCAGGCCUAACACAUGCAAGUCGAACGAGUGGCGGACGGGUGAGUAAUGUCUGGGAAACUGCCUGAUGGAGGGGGAUAACUACUGGAAACGGUAGCUAAUACCGCAUACCAUCGGAUGUGCCCAGAUGGGAUUAGCUAGGAGGUGGGGUAACGGCGCACCUAGGCGACGAUCCCUAGCUGGUCUGAGAGGAUGACCGGCCAAACUGGAACUGAGACACGGUCCAGACUCCUACGGGAGGCAGCAGUGGGGAAUAUUGGACAAUGGGCGAAAGCCUGAUGCAGCAAUGCCGCGUGAGUGAAGAAGGCCUUCGGGUUGUAAAGUACUUUCGGCGGGGAGGCGUUACCCAAAGAGAAAGCACCGGCUAACUCCGUGCCAGCAGCCGCGGUAAUUC
rnacentral:rRNA from 1 species